rnacentral:rRNA from 1 species
UCCCUACGGGAGGCAGCAGUGGGGGAUAUUGCACAAUGGGGGGAACCCUGAUGCAGCGACGCCGCGUGGGUGAAGAAGCGCCUCGGCGCGUAAAGCCCUGUCAGCAGGGAAGAAAAUGACGGUACCUGAAGAAGAAGCCCCGGCUAACUACGUGCCAGCAGCCGCGGUAAUACGUAGGGGGCAAGCGUUGUCCGGAAUUACUGGGUGUAAAGGGAGCGUAGGCGGGAUGGCAAGUUGGGUGUUAAAUCUACCGGCUCAACUGGUAGUCGCACUCAAAACUGCUAUUCUUGAGUGAAGUAGAGGCA